rnacentral:rRNA from 1 species
UAUGGAGCUUUAAUUAACUGAUUCACAAAAAACAACACACAAACCUAACCUUCAGGGACAACAAAACUUUUGAUUGAAUCAGCAAUUUCGGUUGGGGUGACCUCGGAGAACAAAACAACCUCCGAGUGAUUUAAAUCCAGACUAACCAGUCAAAAUAUAUAAUCACUUAUUGAUCCAAACCAUUGAUCAACGGAACAAGUUACCCUA